CACGUAGGCGGACCGGAAAGCGUCAUGUGAAAUCCCUCGGCUCAACCGAGGAACUGCUUGGCGAACUGCCGGACUUGAGGCAAGUAGGGGUGCGUGGAACUCUUGGUGGAGCGGUGAAAUGCGUAGAUAUCAAGAGGAACGCCGGAGGCGAAAGCGGCGCACUGGGCUUGUCCUGACGCUGAGGUGCGAAAGCUAGGGGAGCGAACAGGAUUAGAUACCCUGGUAGUCC
rnacentral:rRNA from 1 species